GACGAACGCUGGCGGCGUGCUUAACACAUGCAAGUCGAACGAAGAGCGAUGGAAGCUUGCUUCUAUCAAUCUUAGUGGCGAACGGGUGAGUAACGCGUAAUCAACCUGCCCUUCAGAGGGGGACAACAGUUGGAAACGACUGCUAAUACCGCAUACGAUCUAAUCUCGGCAUCGAGGAUAGAUGAAAGGUGGCCUCUACAUGUAAGCUAUCACUGAAGGAGGGGAUUGCGUCUGAUUAGCUAGUUGGAGGGGUAACGGCCCACCAAGGCGAUGAUCAGUAGCCGGUCUGAGAGGAUGAACGGCCACAUUGGGACUGAGACACGGCCCAGACUCCUACGGGAGGCAGCAGUGGGGAAUCUUCCGCAAUGGACGAAAGUCUGACGGAGCAACGCCGCGUGAGUGAUGACGGCCUUCGGGUUGUAAAGCUCUGUUAAUCGGGACGAAAGGCCUUCUUGCGAAUAGUGAGAAGGAUUGACGGUACCGGAAUAGAAAGCCACGGCGAACUACGU
rnacentral:rRNA from 1 species